UUUUUGCAGGCGGAAAAUAAA
ensembl:piRNA 21ur-12615 ncRNA